rnacentral:lncRNA from 1 species
ACCCACGGCUCCGACACCCCAAGUGCAGCCGGCUCGCCCCGGCGGCCCUUUCCUGUACCCCAGGUUGCCCCUCAGAGGUCCCGGGACUUCGGCGCGUAGAGCCUAGAAGCUCUUCCGCCUCCCUCCGGAAGUUAUGCCUCCGCACGCCCGGAAGUCCCUCCUCCGUGCCAGGCGCGCGUGACGCACAGUGCAGGCGCCGGACGGCAUUAAGGAGCGACGCUGGGGUGGUGCGGCGAAAGACGUUCGACGGUUGGGUGUUGUGCUCCGUACGCUUUUGAGUGCUCGGGGCUGGGCGAUGGCUGCAGACCGCGUGUCCAGCUCCGGUUUCUGUCGCUGGGCGAAGCGGCCCGGCAGGGGUCCUGACCGGAGGACAGGGCAACGCGGACACCGGAAAGCACCCCGCCCGGGCGGCGGUCGAGACUGUGUCGCGGCACGUGGUAGGGACCGGUGAAUACCGGUGGAUGACAUACCCUGCAGUAAGCUCUUAACUCUGUUAUACAGUGAGCUACUUCAAACUCUUGUUGGAAAAGGCAAAAAGAAAUGAUGCGACAAUGAGUGAAGAGUGUUCACUGAGAGGCUUGGAGGAGUCAGGACAACUGAUAAGAUUUGUGAGUGUUGUUGAAGGCUGAGUAGGUGUGACAGGACAAAUGCACGGAGUCUGUCCAGGUAGAAGGAACAUCAUUGCUGCAGCAAGGAGACAAGAGAAAAACCGAGUGCUGGGUGACAGGUGAGUACUUAGCAUGGCUAGAUUUGUGAUGCAGGUUGGGUUCCCCGGGAUACGGAGGGUGAGACAGAUACUUGCGUGCAGAUGGCUUAUUGGGGAAGAGAGGCUGAACUGUGAUGGGCUGCGAUGGAGCAUCAGGCUAACCCAAGGCUUGGCCCUCCCACGUCUUGAAUUGAGACAAACAGGUGGAGCCCCUAUACUGCUGCAUAGACCACAGGUGAAUGUGGGCUGACCCCUACGAGGGGCACAUAAUAUUGGGAGAGGAAGUGCCCUUCAGCCGAGGGCAGUUCCCAAGGAGGGACAGGUCUCUGAGCCAUCAGCAGCCAGCACUCCCUGCACCUGAGGGAAAUGAGAGCCUUGGUCCCCACGGGGGAAUCUGGGCAGCAUGCUGCAGCAGCUACUGCAGUCCCCCCUUUGCAUCACUCAGGUCCACUGGCUUCACAGUCCACCCAUCUGGGAAGAACAGCGCCAGGAUUCUGGUUGGUCGCUUUUCUGGGGAAGCUUACAAGAGGAAGGUUGACGUGAUCUUAGAGCCGCAGCGUUAUUCCCGUCGUAGACUCCCUCCCUCCGGUCGCACCGUUAUGCUGCUGUUCUGGGAUGGCUUCAGGAUGAGACCGUGGGCAGCAGGUGGAAAAACAGAAAAAUAGCAACGAUGGCUUUCAAGACCCUGGAUCCAGUUGUUCCUGAGCCCAGCUGUCCCCCCUCCACUGCACGGAGUCCACCGCUCUCAAGGCAGUGGCCUGGGGACAGUGACAUUCUGGGCAGGAGGAGAGCCUGAGAUCAAUGCUGGACAUCCUCAGAGGGGCUCCGCUGUGAGACAGGACAUGUGAGAACUGCUCUCUGAACCAGUGGCCACAGGUGGUUCGUUGGGUAUGGGGAAAAAGAGAGUCCAAUUUCCCUUUACGUCUGUCUUUUAGCUAGACAAGGGAAGAAAUUAGAUUUUGCCAAAAUUUAGAAUGUGAGUAUUGAUAGAGGUACGUGGUGUGAUUUGUAAAUAAGUAUCCACAUAUUAGGAUUCAUGUCCAAGAUUUCUUUUACUGAUAGGCAUGGAAAAUAAAGAAGACCCUGGUGUGAAGUACUCUUUAUUU